AAUGUAAAGGCGGACAAAUUGGC
rnacentral:siRNA from 1 species